GACGAACGCUGGCGGCGUGCUUAACACAUGCAAGUCGAACGGAAAGGCCUUGUCUUUGUGGCUUGCUUGAGUAGCGAAUGGGUGAGUAACACGUGAGUAACCUGCCCCUGACUUUGGGACAUCUUCAGGUAACUGGGGUUAAUACUGGAUAGGAGCUCCUGCUGCAUGGUGGGGGUUGGAAUGUUUUGGCGGUUGGGGAUGGACUCGAGGCCUAUGAGCUUGUUGGUGGGGCAAUGGCCUACCAAGGCUUUGACGGGUAGUCGGCAUGUGAGGGUGACCGGCCACAUUGGGAAUGAGAUACGGCCCAGACUCCUCCGGGAGGAAGCAGUGGGGAAUAGUGCACAAUGGGCGGAAGCCUGAUGCAGCGACGCCGCGUGGGGGAUGACGGCCUUUGGGUUGUAAACCCCUUUCGCCAGGGACGAAGCGUUGUGUGACGUUAACUGGAGAAGAAGCACCGGCUAACUACGUG
rnacentral:rRNA from 1 species